UACGAAGGGGGCUAGCGUUGCUCGGAAUUACUGGGCGUAAAGGGCGCGUAGGCGGACAGUUUAGUCAGAGGUGAAAGCCCAGGGCUCAACCUUGGAAUUGCCUUUGAUACUGGCUGUCUUGAGUUCGGGAGAGGUGAGUGGAAUGCCGAGUGUAGAGGUGAAAUUCGUAGAUAUUCGGCGGAACACCAGUGGCGAAAGCAGCUCACUGGACCGGUAUUGACGCUGAGGUGCGAAAGCGUGGGGAGCAAACAGG
rnacentral:rRNA from 1 species